AAAGUAGGCAGAUUGACAUUUCUGGCAGAACCCUAGGAGCAGAAAAAUAUCUGAAAAACAAAUAAGCACCUGUGACGCCCUGUGACUACAGAGUUCCAGUAGAACUAUAAUCUGUGAAAUUUAGGAAGACUCAAAGCAGGUACAAAGUUAUUUAAAAUUGAAUCACAUGGUCUUCACAAUGUAUACGAAAACAAAAUUAAUAUAGUUAUAACAGUCUGAAUAUUUUCUUCUUAGAGAGCAACCAGAGUCACUCCUAUUUCCAUUGCUUACAUGAGUGAGAGAUGUGAGUAUUGCCCAAUGGAACAGACGAGAAGUAAUCACAGACAUUAUUGCAAAAAUCAGAAAGUCAAAGAACAACAGAACUCAUUUGACUGUAUGGGGCCUAAGAACUUAUCAGUGAGAGAGAAAUGCACAGCACAGUAUCAUAUUUAAAUAUAAUGAGUUAGCAAAA